AAGGAUAAAGCAUUCGAAACUUUUAAAUUCGAGAUCACGAACUUGGAUCACUUUAAAAUUCAAAUUGUUUUGCAAAAUUUAAAGCCUUUUGCAUUUGAACCGCUUGAAGUUUCUCUUGCCUAAGCGAAAUGGAUAAGCGUCACAUUUUAAAAACAAGCCUUUUAUAAGGAGUUUUUUUAUAAGCAUGAUUUCUCAUCAUUAUAAAAACUGCUACCAACACUUAAAUUCAAUGGACCGAUAAAUCGGCAAAUAAACGGAUAAAGGCAAAUGGAUAGGUAAAUUGGUGGGCCUGGGAGGACUUGAACCUCCGACCUCACGCUUAUCAAGCGCGCGCUCUAACCAACUGAGCUACAAGCCCUCCGAGAUAAACCGGAAAACCUUCCCCAGCAUUAUCUAAAAAAGCAUUAUCUAAAAAAGCUCUAUCUCAUAAAAGCAUCAUUUCAAAAAACAAAGAGCUUUCCUUAAAGCUUUUGAUGAGAGCUUACUUGCGUAGACCGC
rnacentral:misc_RNA from 1 species